CUUGCAAAUACACGCGCGGAACUUCCUCGGGAAGGACAUACAGAAAUACAUUUUUCCCUUUUAAGAAAAGGAGAGGAAAGCGAGGAAAAAGCAGCAUUAAACGAUUUCUAAAGGCCUUGAAAGAAAAUCCUUUUAGAGGCACCUUGGCCUCGAGCUGCAACAAAUACUGGGAGGUCCGAGCUGAAUUCCCAGGCUUGCAGGAAUAAUGACAGGGUGGUGGAUACUGCGGUAGAAAGUGCCAGAUUUUUCUCCCUCUCUCUUUUUAACUAAAGAGGAGACUUAGUUCCUUGCAAGAAACCCACUCCGUCCAGUUAGAAAAACACAAUGAAAAUUUAACACUUAAGGGAUUUAAAGCCGCGCGGUAGCUAGCCUGUUUCAACUUAGGGCUCAUUCUUUAACUGAAACCUGAGGAAAGCCAAUUUUAAUGUUUUUAGUGUAAAAGUCCAUGAAACGCAGCCUGCCUGGCCGCGCUGAACAUUUCUUGAACUACACGCGAUUGUUUACUUUUUUGGCACCGCUUCUCCCCGUUUCUCUUCAUUGAGAAUCAGCCAUUAAUUGCUGCCUCUAGAGCUGCGCGCAUCCCCCCAGCCCUGGGCUCGGGCCCCGGCCCGCAGCGCGGCUCCCCGCGGGGGCAGCUACGGGCCGUGGCGGACACCCGUGCGCACCGGCGCGGGGGGCAGCGGCCAGCCCGCUCUUCCGCCCCCGGCCCGGGCUGGGGAGGCGCUCUGGGGUGCUGCGCUCCUGCACGACGGCUGCUGCACGCCUGCGGAGGAGCGCGGCUGUAAAGAGUUUGGGAGCUGGAGGGGGCGUGGGAGAAACGCAGCGAAAAAGAGAGCGGCAUGGGGACCCGAGGUGAGAGGAGUACAUCGUGGAGCCCCUGCCCGGUGCGGCGCCCGGCUCGACAAACCCGCCGGCACUGCGCACCUCUCCCUUCAGCCUCGCCGUGCAUGUACCUGGGGCAGCGCUCCUGAGCAAAAGCCCUGAGCCCCGGUCGCUGCAAACGUCCUCCUCCCCUCGGCGGGCUGGCGAGCGCCGGUAAUGGGGCCGUCCCGGUGCCGGCAACGCGGGUUGGCAGCACCCCGGGGGCCGGGGCCGCCGGCGGGAGCGAGCUGUGCACCGCACCGCACCGUUCCCUCCGUGAGACUGCCUAAAGGCAUCGACGGUCAGGGCUUUUCAAGGGCCGUAGCCGCCGGUUAGGGAGUUUCUUUUUCCUUUCACUUUAUCCCAGCUCCAUUUUUCCUCACCCUGUGAAACCUGUCUCCAUGAAGGCCCUGCCCUCUGCUCCGCACAGGACUGUCUCCAGGAAAGCUGCUAGGAGCAGCAAGCUGUCAUGCACGCACACAUUGCUCUUCACCUGCAGACACCCACCAAAAGCAUUUGCACUGCUGGAGCAUCUAAUUACCCUAAUAAAGAAAAGACAGAAAUGAAGCGCAGGCACUUUGGGUUCCCUUUGUACGGUUUGCAAGAGAGCUGACCAUGGGAGAAGACCGACUUGUGGGAAAAUAAUCAGAUUUUUUUCUGUUCCCUCAAGUUUUUGUGUCUCACACACGUUUCCAUCGCACAAGUGCACAGUUUUGCCUCGGCCCUGUGCUCCACCCGCACACCUGAUUCUGGCUUUGGCAUAAGAUCACAGUCGCUGGGUUUUGCAGGGCAGCCUGAGCCUCCCUCUCCUUUUCCACUCGCAGUGCCUUGCUGGCCACCGGGCCGGCGGGGGUUGCCGUCGGAGGCGGCGGCUCGCAGCGGGGAGCCGCUCCGCAGGGCAGCGCCGCCGCGCAGCGCCCGCGCCUGGGGAAGGAGGCGGGCGGCCUCUCCCCCUCCUCAGCCCUGGAAGAAAGGGAACUGCUCGAGCCAACUUGUCAAAAUAAUGCGGCUAAUUACCCCUGAUCUCCUUUAAUGGAAAGCUGCUCUGCACGCCACAAAGGAGCAAAUGAGGGAUCUACAGCACCAACCCAGGAGCGCUGGCAUUUUCUUCUACGGAAGGCUGAAGGAAAAUGUGCUUCCAGAGGAGUCUCCGAGGAUUCUGGGCAUCUUCCGUGAAGCAGCGAACUCCCAGAAGAGGACAAGGGCGCACGGAGAGCUGCGGAAGACAGUGGAUGGAGGAGCAACAGCCCGCUCCCUCCAAAACCACGAGGACAUCCCAGACCUAGCAGACCUUGUCAUAUUCCACGAGGGGCUUUACCUUUAUAAACCCAAGUCAUCUUCAAAACAGAUUCUUUUCCUGGCAAAAUGCCCUGCCACUUGUAGGACAUUAAUGUGCAUUGAGAGGGGAAAGUUACACUAAACCUUUUUUAGCCAGCCUGGACAACACCGGGUCUGUGUAAAGAUAGAGCUCAAGUUUUGCAUGUGCCAGAAGGCAGGGCAUUCACUUCCUUGAUCUCUGCCAUCGGGCCUUGCAGAAAAAAAAGCUGAGCGACACAAUCUCUUUGACCCGCUGCUGGAGCAACAAAUUUAUUAGAGAUAUAGGCGUGAGAAAUGAAAAGGAAGUAAAACAA